UCUUGAGACUUACUUGAUGUGGUAAAAGGUAGGGGGUCUAUGAAAGAUCCCACGCAGAGAGACCCUUACUCAAGUCUUGGGAAAAUCGCGGACCCCAGACACAGAGAGACCA
rnacentral:pre_miRNA from 14 species